CCAUAUCAUGUGGAAACACCAGUUCUCAUACGAUAACUGAAGUUAAGCAAAGUCAAGUUUGGUCAGUAACUAGAUGGGUGACCACUUGGGAAUACCAGGUGCUGUAAG